GGAUAUAACUCAACUGGUAUAGUGCUUGCCUCACUUGCACGUGGCCCUGGGUUCAAUCCCCAGCAACACA
rnacentral:tRNA from 1 species